UACGGAGGGGGCUAUCGUUGUUCGGAAUUACUGGGCGUAAAGCGCGCGUAGGCGGACCUGCAAGUCGGGGGUGAAAGCCCGAGGCUCAACCUCGGAACUGCCUUCGAUACUGCGGGUCUCGAGUCCGAGAGAGGUGAGUGGAAUUCCUAGUGUAGAGGUGAAAUUCGUAGAUAUUAGGAAGAACACCAGUGGCGAAGGCGGCUCACUGGCUCGGUACUGACGCUGAGGCGCGAAAGCGUGGGGGGCAAACAGG
rnacentral:rRNA from 1 species